GGGUGUGACUGCGUACCUUUUGUAUAAUGGGUCAGCGACUUAUAUUCUGUAGCAAGGUUAACCGUAUAGGGGAGCCGUAGGGAAACCGAGUCUUAACCGGGCGUUAAGUUGCAGGGUAUAGACCCGAAACCCGGUGAUCUAGCCAUGGGCAGGUUGAAGGUUGGGUAACACUAACUGGAGGACCGAACCGACUAAUGUUGAAAAAUUAGCGGAUGACCUGUGGCUGGGGGUGAAAGGCCAAUCAAACCGGGAGAUAGCUGGUUCUCCCCGAAAGCUAUUUAGGUAGCGCCUCGUGAAUUCAUCUCCGGGGGUAGAGCACUGUUUCGGCUAGGGGGCCAUCCCGGCUUACCAACCCGAUGCAAACUGCGAAUACCGGAGAAUGUUAUCACGGGAGACACACGGCGGGUGCUAACGUCCGUCGUGAAGAGGGAAACAACCCAGACCGCCAGCUAAGGUCCCAAAGUCAUGGUUAAGUGGGAAACGAUGUGGGAAGGCCCAGACAGCCAGGAUGUUGGCUUAGAAGCAGCCAUCAUUUAAAGAAAGCGUAAUAGCUCACUGGUCGAGUCGGCCUGCGCGGAAGAUGUAACGGGGCUAAACCAUG
rnacentral:rRNA from 1 species